AGCAAGACUCCAUCUCAAAAAAAAAGAAAAAGAAGAAGAAGAAGAAAAAAGAGACACCCUCUACUUGGUGGGGGCCAGCUAGCCACAGGAAGAGCCUCCUUGAGCCUUAUGGCUGUGUCAGGAAGACAAAGAUCAACAGGCCCCAUCUCUGGGCCAAUGAAGCCCGCCACUGUCUGUGGACACACAAGCCCAUCUGUGGAGGACUUGGGCCAUGUUUCAAGCAAAUAAUGUUUAUUAGGUCCCAGGUCAGCCCAUAAAAGCUCUUGGAAUCCAAAAUGUGCUUGAAGCUUAGGAUCAUUAGUUCUGGUUUUCCAAUACUUUGCUCGUUCAUUCAUUCAAUUCCUCAUUUAGUCAGCAAAUGUUUACCAGGUGCCUACCAGAUGUAGGGGUAUACAAAUUAGGUUUAGGGUGCAGUUAUAUGACCUGGGCUAGAAUGACAGUGGCUCUAACAAGACAGAGGCUGACUCCUUGCUUGUCAAAGCCACAGCUGCUGCAUUGCUCAGGCCCCUCUACCUGUUGCUCUGCAUUUCUGGAGUGAGCUCCUGUUCGUACGAUCCUCACACCUCACAUCUACACUGCUCAAGCUCCUGCAUCAGCAGGAGGACGUGAAAGAGGAAAGGCACAGCCAGGUGCCGUGCACAGCCUGCUCAUUUGGACUCCAUUGGCUGGAACUUGAUCACGUGGUCACAACCUGCUGCAAAGCUCCUACUCCUGAGCACCUACUACUGUGCCAGACACUGUACAAGGCCCUAGGAUACAGGAAGCAAUCACUGUGAGAAGAACUGGAAACAUGAAGAGUCAUUCGCUGAGAAACAAAAGAUAAGCAGACAAUUCUAGAAGCUUUUGGAGACUGAAAAAGUCACACCAUGAGGAUCGAGAAUCAGAAUGGCAUCGGACUGCUUAACAUCAACCCAGAACACCACAUGCCAAUAGAGAACUGCCUUCAGAAUUCUGAGGGGAGAUGAUUUCCAACUGAGAUUUAUACCUCCAGCCAAACUGUCAAUCAAUUAUCCAAAAACUGAACUCCCAUAUGCAGCCUCCAAGGAAGCUAUUGGCGUGUAUAUUACAACAAAAUGAAGGGAGUAAAGCAAGAAAGAAGAUGACUUAGGAUCUAAAAAACAAGGCACCAACACAGGACAGAGGGAAAGGGAAUUCCCAGGGUAACGUUGAAGAGAAAUUUCACAACUUCUACUACAAUGGCCAGGAGAGCAACUGAUCCAGGUAGAAGCAGGAGGGUUCCAAGAAAAAAAACUGAACUGAUAGGUUGCCAGAUGUGUUUGACUAUAUUACGAGAAAUUUUAGAGUUUUACUGUCAUGGUUUGUGGGAAGAAUUAGUAAUCUUACAUCAAAAACUAAUUAAAUUAAAAAACUGAGGUAAUUACUAACUCCAGGGAAAACAAAAAGCUGUACAAGACUGCAACUGUAACCAUAAUAUAGUCCCUUGUUUAGCUGUGAAUAAUCUAUAUGUAGAUAUGAUACGGUAAAAACUGAGUGUUGAUUUAGCAACUGUGAUAGGACUAUCUUGGAAGGAAAAGUGUGUGUUUGUGGAUGGUGGCUGGUGGAGAACCAGCAAUUUUCCACAGGAGGAAGCCAAUACAUAAUAUUCAAAAAAAAAUACAUCUAGAGAAUGAUAUUUAGAAAUAUGAAAGGAAAUGUCAGAAGGAACAGCUAAAAGACUUAAAGUAGCUUCCUCUGAGGCGAGGCAGGACUGCUUCCUUUCAUUAUCAGCCUUGUGGCACCAUUUGGCUUUAAAAUUUUGAACAUAAAAUUUUUUAAAAAUUAGAAAUUUAAUUUAAAAAUGUUCUUGCAUGUAUUACCUAAAAGUCACCUUUUGUACCAGCCUCGUUCUUAGCAAAAUGAGCUGACCAAAAUUUAGACAGACCAAGGUGCCAGUCCCAGCUCUACAGAUUGCUAGCUGUGUGGCCUUAGGCCAGUUGCUCAAUCUCUUUGAGCCUCCAUUUUUUAACCUAGAAAGUAAGGAUAAUAUUAGCACCUACAUCGCAGGGUUACUGAAAGGAUUAAAUGAGACCAUGUCUAGACCUAGCACAUAAAAGCAUCCAAUAAAGGGUAUCUGUUGAGAUGGUGGUUGUUUUAAUUUCACUUUCUUCAACUGCUAAGUGACUAACUGUGGGCAAUUUCCCCAAGCCUCCCCAAUUUUAAAAUUGGUAGAAAAUAUUCUGAGCCUCUGAAGAGAUAAAUGAAAUAAUGAGUGUAGAAUACCUGGCACCUAAUCUUUCUAAAACUCAAAUAUCUCAUUUGCAAAAUGGGAAAAUCCUUUUAGGGUUUUCAGAGCAUUCAGUGAGAUGACAUAGUGAAAGACACAGCCCAGUACAAGGACACAUUUAUUUACUCAAAAAAGCUAGCUAUGCGUAAGACUGGGAACUUUUAAACAUCGUAAAAGUAAUACAUGCUGACUGUAAAAAAUGGGAGAAAUCUAGAAAAGUGUAAAAACAAAAAUUACCAGUCGCUGCAAUGCUUCUCAAUAAUAUUUUUCCAUCUAUUUUGUAUACUUAUUAUAUCAGUCGAUGUAGAUCAUGUGCCAGGAAAAACUGUACCAAAAUCUCAGUGGUUUCAAGGCACAGAGGUUCACUUCUGCUCAUACCCACAUCACAAGCAUCCAGAUGACUCUCAGGUGCUCUUUCCCAUACUGCGGCUCAGUGAUAGAGCCUCCUUUGAGCUUCUAGGCCUUCAAAAUCAAUACGCAUUUCUAUGACCGCUUAGGCCAGGGGACAGCGGGCUGGGAAGGGUUGCACCAGCAAUUGAUCACCAUCACCCGGAAGUGACACAGGUUACUUCUCUCGCAUUUCACCGGCCAAAGGAAGUCACACAACCAUCCUGAUAUCAAGGGGCGAGGAAGGGAAAUCUUCCAGGGUGCCUGGAUGCAAUGGGCAGUUGGACCUGGGACACUGUAACUACAUCCACCCCACACAUUCCCAGAAUCGAAAACACAUCGCAUGUGUGAUUUUGCUUUUUCACUGCUUUUGUCUCUUCUCAUUACGUCAUAAAAUAUUCUUUGAAAACAUGUGGCACGGAUAAAACUGCAGAUUUAAGGAAAGAUUUUAAGUUGUAUGGUGACACUAUUUCCCUCUUCCUCGUUCUCUCCUUCCUCUUAUUCUUCUAAUUUAGGAAACUGUAUGUAGGUGGCAGAGAUCCAGGCCCCAGAACUUUGCAUGUCCUUGCUCAGAAAUGCCUCCUCUUCUCUUCCUGGCCGACGCAGGACAGGCCGGUUCUGCCAUUCCUUCCUGGAGAGCUUGUACAGUUCUGUGGGCGUCUUUCCCUCCAGAAGUAACACGUUUGGAGGUGAGGCCCAGAGAACCUGCUGAACAACUGCCGGAUUAACAACUCCACAUGUGGGGUGUGGCUGCACGCGGCUCUGCCGGGGCCUCCUUGUGCAGUCAGCCGGUGGUGUUAACGCACAGUGUUAAAAGUGACACCAAAGUGGUGCCGGCGCCACUGUCAGCUGCUGCAAGAGAUGACACCCGGGCCUGCAGAGUUGGGUGCGAGCUCAGGAGCGACAGCCCCUCCUCGCUGGUGUCCCAGGAUCCCAGGGACCAGUGGGAAGGGGUCCAGGGGGAAGGAGCUUGGUGGGCCCACUAGAGAGAAGUACUUUGUCCCAGGCAUGCAAAGUAUGGGAAACUGAGACUGCGGGGACAGUGAGGAACAUGCAGAGGUCAAGAUGCUGAGAACUGGAAGGAAGGGCCUGUCAAGUCAGCAAGGGCACUGUGCUGAGAGCUGCUCUGUUCCUUUUUCCCUCAACAAACUUGCUGCCGUGUGCCUGCUCUGCUCCUGCAUGGAGGGCAUCUGUGAUCUUCCCAAAAGAGAUCAUCAACAACUUCUGAGGUUUAGAAUCCAGCUGUGAAAAGUUACUGACAUACUUGGAACAAUUAAAGAGGAACGCAAAGUGCACUCUCAUCUGGCGUUGGGCUGUGCAAGCAGGUGACCUGGGUUUCAGAGGAGUUGGCAGGAGGGAGAGUUUGCUGAGGGUAUAGAAAUGCUCCAAAGGGCUCCUUCCUUGUCAGCUGCCACCAUCCACAAACUCCAGAGAGCAGGGGAAGAAAGCGAAUGUGGAGCAAAGAAGGCAAGCAGGGAGAAGGCGAUUAUGUAAUCCUCCAGCAGCGUGUGAGCUGGGCCAGGCAGUCCUCUGCAAGCCCCUUUUGCAGAUGGAGAAAGUGAGACCCAGAGGGCUAACCCACCUUCCUCUGGAAACAGCACUACAACUGAAGCUGAGCUGGUCCAGCCUGGUGCCGUCUGCAGAAAGACUUACAUGCAUUUUCCCUCACAAGCUGUGGAUGAAGGAGUAAGAUCUGACCCGUGCCCAGCAUCGGCUGGGAGCCGGACCAAGAGUUCAUGGAAAGUAAAACUCAAGACAUUCACUCCCUUGGGUGUGAAAUAAAACAACUCAUCUCUAGCUCUACGGCUUGCAGAGCACUAUCCUCUUUAUUAUCUUAUUUUCUUCUCACAACAACCUGUGACAAACACAUUAUUAUUUCCAUUUUGCAAUUUCAGAAACCGAGGCUGGGAGGGAGAAUGAGCUGCAUUCUGUAGCUCUAGAGGGAGGAGAUGGAGCCCAGGUGGGCUGAGCCUGUUUCAGGCCUUCUUUGCUCUAUCACGCAGCCUCUGGAGUCAACCACCAAUCAUCCAGGACAACCCAGAUAUUAGCUCAUUGGCCUGCUGAAUCCCAUUUCCUCUUCAAACGUGACCUGCCCCAGCAAGCUGAGUCUGGAGCCCACUGGACUAAGAGUGGAGUUGGAGGGUGCCACCCUUUGGCUGGCCAGCCGCCAAUCAGAUACUUCUGCUAGAUCAGACCUAAGUCUGCACAGGGAGCUGGGAGAACUGAGGCACGAUGGAAGGGAUAUGAGCUGGAAGUCUGCAGGUGCUCAGAGCUUCCCAGGUUUCUCCCUCACUCCCCUGCCCUCUCUGCCCUUCCUUGAGGCC